rnacentral:lncRNA from 1 species
UGAUGAUCUGUUAUUAUUUUGAUUGUCCUAUCUUUGUUUCUCACCUAUAAAUAGAUUCUAUAUAUCUUGUAUCAUGUAUUUCACGGUAAACACAGAGUUUUCUCACAUUUGGUGGUAAUAGUAGUAUGGCUAAAUUAGGUGGCACAAUGCAGUCAGUUUGUUGUUUGAUAAUCAUAGUGGUGUUGGUGGGGGAAGGAGUCUCAGGAAGUGGAGAAGAAAAUAAGGGAAUAGGUGGUGGAGCUUCUACCAUGUUAAGGGCUUCAUCAGGUAAUAAUAAAGCUGCAUUCCUUCUUCUAACGAAGGCACCAAUCCCACCAUCAGGACCAAGCCAUAGAGGCCAUCCCCUCCGUCGUCCACACUUAGCAACCCAUCUUAAUAAUUAAUUCAGGGUAUUAAUAAUUAAUUCCAUAUGUAUUUUGGUUUACUUAUGCAUCCACUUUUUAUAUAUAGGUGACCUACCAUGUCUAAUUUAUUUAUAUUCCUCUUUUCUAUACGCAUGUAUGUAUUAAUAUGUAAAACAUGUAUGGCUUUAAAAUCAUCUUUUAUAUAAACGAUUAAACGAACUUUUUUUUUCCUCGUUAUAAGAGUUCUUUCAUUAUUUAUUUCUAAUUAAAUGAUAUGUAAAAUUCUAAUAAAAAAUUGAGUCAUUCUUAAGUAUUUACAGAAUAAAUAAUUUAUUUAUUCAUGUAAAAUUAUUAAGAAAAAGAACUGAAAGCAAAAACGUACUUAAAUUUAUGAAUAUAAUUAAAAAAGUUUUUUUGUUUGAUUUUUUUCAACUAAAAUUUUUUGUUUCUCUAAGCGUUUGAUGGAGAGACAGAGACAAAAAGAUUGAGACUGAGAGACAGAGACUAAGAGACAGGGAUUAAAAUAAAUUUCAGUAUUCUGUUUGGUGCAAAAUGAGAGAGACAUGAAUUGAAACAAGAAUGAAACUCUAAUUUAAUUUGCACACAAGGUAAAAUUGGAAUUAAUUAAUUGAAAUAAAAGUAUUUUAGGUAUAAAAUGUUAUUAAAAUUUCAGUCUCUAUCUCUAAAAAUUCCAAUCCCCUGUGUCCCUAUUUUUUGGAGGUACUGAAAUACUGAAAUUUUAGAGACAGAGACAAAAAUUUUAGUACCAGUCUCUAAACUAACAAACACGAUACUGAGUCUCAGUCUCUCAAUCUCUGUCUUAGUACUUCAAAACAAACGCUACCUAAUAAAACUGAAUUUUCGUAAUUCCAUGGAAAAUAAAAUUUAUGUAUACCUGUAAAGUAUAAAAUAAAUAAAUUUUUACUCCAAAUUGAUAGUCUAUACAAAUAAAAAUUGUCUACAUAAACCACAAUAAAAAUAUCGAUAAUUAAUGAACAACUAGCCUAUUAGCUCAGUUGGUUAGAGUGUCAUACUAAUAACGCAAAAAUUGUAGAUUUGAAACCUGCAUCAGUAUACGAAGAUAAUAAAUAGAUUCUUUUUCUUGUUAUUAUAACUUUAUAAGAGUUCUGUUCAUACCCUGAUCCAAUAAUAAAGGCCCAGGAUCCAAGCAAAGAAGCCCAACCCAAAGGGUUAGCCCUCACCCAGUACCAGCCUUCAUCCCAAGAAGUCGGUACUGAACACGACCUGCUCCAAAGAAGUCGGAUACGAGGGUUAGCUGGCAGAUAACACUCAUUCGAAUGAGUAACUGCCCCUAGAAACUCUCUAACCACUUCAUAGAGCCAUAUCUUAACCUCCCUAAGAUAUGGGAAUGGUUAUCCACCUAAAAAGGCGGCACUACUUCAGCGGUGGUUAUUGGUUCACCACUAUAAAUACACUGACACCAUUCAGGUAUCUCUAGGUCCCAAUACUCUCUAACCUGCUCACAUUCUUGCUAACUUAGGCAUCGGAGUGUCUUUGCAGGUACCACCCCCCAUUCUCUCAUACGUACAAGUCGGACGGAGGAAUAUCGAGUAACAGACCCCCUCGAAAGCCACCUCCUUCAUACGUUUGGGCCAGCCAACGCCAUCCAGCCUACUAAUCUCCGGUUACCCACCGUAACAUUGGCGCCGUUGCCGGGGACCCGAGAGAUCAACCAGUGAUGGCGGACAGAUCCCCUGAAGAGGGUCAUGUGGAGACAGAUUCUGAACAAGAGAAUCUGAACACUGGAAACAAUGAGGCAGACCAGACCCUUCACCAGGAAGCCAAUGAUCAACACAGGGAAGGCACCUCCGGAAUCAAAAACCCGAAGGUAAAUUCCUCGGAGGGGCGCGAAUCAGAAAAAGAAGGACCAUCCCACGCAGUUGAGCUCAUGGGAUUAGUCCACAGUCGCCUCGAGCAGCUAGAACAGGAACGGGAACGACAAAAGAAAACCGAAAAGAACCUAAAAGAGGAGAUGGAGCGACAAAAAGAGUUAGAAAGAAAACUCUUAAAGUUAGAAUCCUCCCUCAAAGGUCAGAACUCCCACGACGGUAGAGAAGAUUCGCCCUUAGGGGAGAAAGAUCCUUUUAGCGAGGACAUAAUGAGGGCAAAAGUUCCGAGAAACUUUAGAAGCCCCCGAUAUGGACCUCUAUGAUGGAACCACUGAUCCAAAGCAUCAUCUGAGCAACUUUAAAAGUCGGAUGUAUCUGGCUGACGCUUCUGACGCUACGAGAUGCAAAGCCUUUCCGACGACUUUGUCAAAAGCAGCAAUGAAGUGGUUCGACAGUCUCCCCCCGAGAUCUGUCACCAGUUUUGAAGACCUCUCAAGGAAGUUCUCGAUGAGGUUCUCCAUCCAGAAAGACAAAGUAAAACAUGCACCAAGUCUCCUGGGAAUAAAACAGGAGGUCGGGGAGUCCUUACGGGCCUAUAUGGAAAGGUUCAACAAAGCAUGUUUGGAGAUUCAAGACCUGCCCACCGAGGCAGUCAUCAUGGGGCUAGUCAAUGGUCUUAGAGAAGGUCCCUUCUCACAGUCCAUAUCAAAAAGACACCCCGCCUCUUUAAGUGAUGUGUAGGAAAGAGCUGAAAAGUACAUCAAUAUGGAAGAAAAUGCUAGGCUAAGAGACCCGAGUUGGUGACCUGGUCACCCUCCCUCAACGAAAGAGAGGGAGAGGGAAGCUAAGAAGAAGGAAGAACUCGACCUCGAUAGGCCAAGAAAAUAUUACUCUUAUACUCCACUGAAAAUUCCUGUAGUGGAUGUAUACAGAGAAAUUUGCAAUACCGAAAGGCUGCCUCCUCCUAGGCCCAUUAAAAAUAAAAGAGGGGGGAGCCGCGGUGAUUACUGUGAGUACCAUAAGAUAUAUGGGCACUCCACAAACGACUGUUACGACCUUAAAAAUGUGAUAGAAAAGCUGGCCAGAGAAGGUCGGCUUGACAGAUAUCUCAUAGAAAGGUCGGACAGUCAUGGAAAAAGAAAGCGAGAUGAUGUGGAUAGAAGAGACCCACCACCACAAACUCCGGAGAGACAUAUCCAUAUGAUCUCAGGAGGGUUUGCGGGAGGGGGACUCACAAAAUCUUCUCGUAAAUGACAUCUCAAGAGAGUUUACCAGGUCGGAGAGGGGUCAUCCGACCUUCCAACCAUUUCAUUCACAAAGGAAGAUGGGCGAGGAAUAAUCCCUGGGCACGACGACCCAGUGGUAAUUACCAUGAUCCUGGAAAAUGCCCAUCUCCACAGAAUACUAGUAGACCAAGGAAGCUCAGCGGACAUCCUCUUUAAGCCCGCUUUCGACAAACUAGGAUUAGAUGAGAAAGAGUUAAGAACCUACCCCGACACCUUGUACGGAUUAGGAUUUUUGCCCCUCCACACCACCUUUGGAAAGGGGGAGAAAUCAAAGACUCUGAGUAUAGACUUCAUAGUCAUCGACGUGGGGUCGGCCUAUAAUGCUUUAAUCGGCAGAGCUACCCUUAAUCGACUCGGAGCGGUGGUAUCGACACCCCACCUCUGCAUGAAAUUCCCGACCUCAGCGGGGAUAGCAACGGUAAGGGGAGAUCAUAAGUUGGCAAGGAAAUGCUACAAUGAAAGCCUAAACCUGAGAGGAAAAGGCAAAGAAGUUCACACAAUAGAGUUCGGUGGAGCAAGGAUUAAAGAAGAACUGCGACCACGACCCGGAGGAAAAACCGAGGAGAUUCAGGUCGGAGAAGAGGAAGGAAAAAACACUCACAUAGGAACCAACCUGGGGGAAACCCUAAGACAAGAAUUGACUAAGCUCCUAAGAGAUAAUUCCGAUCUCUUCGCCUGGAAGGCCUCCGACAUGCCUGGGAUAGAUCCCGAGCUCAUGUCCCACAAGCUCUCGGUCUACUUGGGAUCUCGACCUGUACAACAAUGAAGAUGCAAGCUCGGCCCAGAGUGAGCUCUAACAGUAGAGGAGCAAGUACAAGCGCUCCUAGAAGCCGGUUUCAUCAGAGAAGUCAAGUAUCCAACAUGGCUAGCCAAUAUAGUGCUAGUCAAAAAACAAAAUGGUAAAUGGAGAAUGUGCGUCGACUACACCGCCGGUUUGAAUGGACUCCUGAAUGUGAGGAGGCGUUCCAGGAGUUCAAAAAGUUUUUGAGCCAACCUCCUAUUUUGACCCGACCUAUGGCUGGAGAAGACCUCGUACUAUACUUAUCUGUAGCAGAAAAGGCCAUCUCAUCCGCCAUGAUAAGAGAAGACAAGGCCAGUCAGCACCCAGUAUACUUCAUCAGUAAAGUUCUACAAGGCCCUGAGCUAAGGUACCAUAAACUAGAGAAGUUUGCCUACUCCUUAGUAGUAGCCUCACGAAGGCUACGGCCUUACUUUCAAGCUCACACAAUAAGAGUCCGUACGAACCAACCCAUGAAGCAAAUCCUCCAAAAGACGGAUGUUGCAGGGAGAAUGGUUCAAUGGGCAAUAGAGCUCUCCGAGUUCGACUUGAAGUACGAAACUCGGACGGCGAUUAAAGCCCAGUGCCUCGCCGACUUCAUUGCAGAAUAUGCAGGAGAUCAAGAGGAUAAACCAACUACAUGGGAACUCUAUGUAGAUGGAUCCUCCAACAAAACAGGAAGCGGUGCAGGCAUAAUAUUGGUAGAUGAAAGGGGAACCCAGAUAGAGGUUUCCCUCAAGUUUGAAUUCCCAGCUUCAAAUAAUCAGGCAGAGUAUGAAGCCUUGAUCGCAGGAUUGAAGCUGGCAGAAGAAGUCGGUGCUACGAAGGUGAUGAUAUCCAGCGACUCCCAAGUGGUGACCUCCCAAAUAAGUGGAGAAUAUCAGGCAAAGGACCCAAACAUGAAGAGGUACUUGGAAAAAACUUUGGAGCACCUGGGGCGCUUUGCAGAAACCGAGGUGAAACACAUAACUCGGGAUCUAAACAGCAGAGCAGACGCCCUAUCCAAGUUAGCAAGUACCAAGCCAGGAGGAAAUAACAGAAGCCUGACUCAAAAGACUCUCCAGGAACCUUUCAGUGGUAAAAAUGGAAGACAAACAAGAAGUCUUUGAAAUGGUCGGAUUAAACCUCGGAUGGAUGAACCCCUUAGUCGAAUACCUGAAAUUCGACAUCCUCCCCAAGGAGGAAAAGGAGGCCAAGAAAAUCCGAAGGGAAGCACAACACUAUACCUUGGUGAAAAAUAUUCUCUAUAGAAGGGGGAUAUCAACACCAUUGUUAAAGUGUGUACCGACCUCAAGAGCCACCGAGGUAUUAGAGGAGGUACAUAGUGGAAUCUGCGGGAACCAUCUCGGAGCAAGGUCAUUAGCCAGAAAGGUGAUCCGAGCUGGAUUCUACUGGCCAACCUUGCAGAAAGAUGCCACAGACUUUGUGAAAAAGUGCCAACCGUGUCAAAUGCAUGCAAAUUUUCACGUGCCCCCCCCAGAGGAGCUCAUUAGUAUCACCUCCCCAUGGCCCUUUGCAAAAUGGGGAAUGGAUUUGUUAGGCCCUUUUCCCCAGGCGCCAGAACAAGUCAAAUACCUAAUAGUGGGAAUAGAUUAUUUCACAAAGUGGAUAGAAGCAGAACCACUGGCCACCAUCACUGCACAAAAAAGUUGGAGGUUCCUCUACAAAAAUAUAAUCACAAGGUAUGGGAUACCUUAUUCCAUUACCACAGAUAACGGAACCCAGUUCACUGACUCCACCUUUAGAAGCCUAGUAGCCAGUAUGAACAUCAAGCACCAGUUCACCUCAGUGGAACACCCACAAGCCAAUGGGCAAGCCGAGGCAGCCAACAAAGUCAUACUGGCAGGGCUGAAGAGAAGAUUACAAGAUGCAAAAGGGGCUUGGGCAGAAGAGCUCCCACAAGUACUAUGGGCUUACAGAACAACCCCCCAAUCCGCCACUGGAGAAACACCCUUCCGGCUAGUUUACGGCGUAGAGGCCAUGAUCCCAAUAGAGGUCAAUGAGCAAAGUCCAAGAGUGAUUUUCCACGACGAGAUCAAAAAUAUACAGGGGCACAAAGAAGAGCUCGACUUGCUCCUCGAAGCCCGAGAAGAAGCACAGAUAAGAGAAGCAGCGUUGAAGCAAAGGAUGACUACAAGAUACAACAAAAAAGUCAUUCGAAGGAGUUUCACCCCAGACGACUUGGUCUUAAUCAGAAACGACAUUGGAGUCAACAAAUCUGGGGAAGGAAAGCUCGCUGCAAAUUGGAAAGGGCCAUACAAGAUCAACGAGGUCUUAGGAAAAGGCUAUUAUAGGGUAACCGACUUUGACGGCAACGAGUUACCAAGAUCAUGGCAUGCUUGUAAUAUGAAAAGGUACUACAGCUAAAAAGCGAACCCUACUCCCUGAUGUACUCUUUUCCCAACUUCAUGAUUUUUUUCCCAAAACUAAAGGGUUUUUUCUGGAGAAGGGUUUUUAACGAGGCAUCAUAGUAGGGGGCUAAGGGAAAAUAAAUUAUCAAAAGCCCUUAGUAGCAAUAAGGUAUCUCCUCAAUUAAUAAAGAUCUCUUUCAUUUUAAAUAUCUCUUUUGAAUUCCCUUUUUAUUCUCUUUCUACAAAACGCGCCGAUUUAAGCUCGACAAAACGUGAAAAUCCCAUGAACCGACCUAGACGGUCGUCAGGAUAAAACGACGAGGUACAAGUCGGCGUAAAGAGGCUAUAGAAGUCGAUCAUGAUAAACUCGGGAGCAGUCCGAUUCAUAAGUCGGAAUGCGAAACCGAGUAAAAUUAAAAUGAAUCGCAAAAGUAGCCUAAGUCACGAAAAACUCAAUGAAACAAAAUUGAGUACUAGGAAUGAUAAAAAAGAGAUAGGAAAAAACUAAGAAAAAGUUAUAAGGCUGCCUUGAGGAUCAAAAAGAUUCAGAAAAGCAGGCCAGCCCCAAAGAAUAGGCUUUUUCCAAAAAAGAUCAAAAGAAUAGAAAAGCAUGCGCGCAUAAGGUAACUCAAAACCCUUAUCCAAAAAGGGCAUUUAUUUAAAACGCUAAAUUAAACCCUUAUUAAAAAGGGUAUCGUAAAUUGUUUUGUUUACGGCCCUAAAAGGCCAAAAAAGUGUUGCAAACAUCAACAAAUAAAUAUAAAAGAGUUUAAAAAGAGGGGCCCACAGGCCGGGCCCCAAUAGCCAAAAUUACUUCUUCGCAAGAGGAGUAGAAGGAUCACCACCACCAGGACCAGGAAUUGGAGAGAAAGUCGGAGGAGCGGUAGAAGAGCUCGGAGCGUCCUUAGAGCGAGGAGGGGACUCUAUGAUCCUCUGCCCCCGAGUCUUCAAAUCGGACUCGGACUCCACCACGGGGACAGGAGGAUCCACGAUGGCACCAUCAAUAACAAUCUUAUCAGGGUCCAAAGGAGAAAGGUCCAAGUCAGGAGCAAUGACUCCGACCUGCUCCUUAAAAACCCUCCAAGCCUCAUCAGCACCAUCCGCAAUAGAGUCCUCCAACUCGGUAUAGGCCUUCCGGGCAUUUAGCAAGUCAUUCUUUACAGACACAAGAUCAGCAAAUAAACUGUUGUAGCUGGCUUGCGCUGCCUUUCUCAAAUCCACCUCCAUGUUGCAUUGGGCUUGCAACUUCUUCUCCUUCUCCCGGAGGCUGUCCCUCUCCUCCUUCAGCUUGGCGACUUUCCCCUCCAACUCCCUCUCGUGCUCCUGAUAUAUGCGAAGCCUGCCUUCCAGCUCCUCGACCCUCGAGGUCGUCCCUAAAGAGUUGAGAGGAGUCUUCUCAAAUAUAUCUAAGAGUUUGCCACAAACUCCCACCGUCUUGAGACUCUCCUCAACCACAGCAGUAAGGUAGUGCCGAACAGAAACAUCAUCCAUGCUCAUACGAGCAUGGGGAUAAAUGUUCUUUCGGACGAACGCAAGAGCGUCCGCCUCACCAGAAGCGCCAGACUCUAAGGUCUUACGCUUCCUCUUCUCUGGUUCAGGAGUAGGUCGGACGGAGGGGGGUGGCAGAGAGGAAGCAGAAGAGGAAAAUCACAAUAGGUUGGGAGGGAGUCCCGACGUUUCGAGGAGGAGGAGGAGGAGAGACAACCGCCCUAGCGCCACCAGACCUGGCACGAGACCUCGCCUUGGCCUCCUGAACUCUUUGGUAAGACUCCUGGGCAUUUGUUUUUGCCAUCUCUGAAAAAACAAAAAAAGCAACAAUUAAUAGAUUAGACAAGUCGGAAGAAUUAAUCAGACAAGUCGGAAAACCAAAUGAAAGCUACCUAUUUGCGCUUGGAUAAAACUCGGAGACCCCUGGAUAAACUUUUUCGUGUCCAAGUAUGGAGACCUCCCCCAAACUUCUCGGAGGAACCCCACAAUGGCCGCCUCCACAUCAUCCAGGUCGUCAAGACCAUAUUUUUCACAAAAGGAGGCCUCCAACCAAUACAAAGGAAAGCAGGGGGAAGAGUUAUCAUCCAGAAAAAAAGGGUGGUGACCCUCUACAGCUUGCACUUUGAAAAAAUAGUUUUUGAAGUCAUGGAAGGAUUCGUCAAAAAGGGUGAAAAUUCUCCUACCUUGUAUGGUCCGGAACGACACCCACUGUUGUUUAUUGUUUAGCCCACUAAAGGAUUUUGUCAUAUGAAAAAGAUGGAAAAAAAUCUUUAAAGAAAUCGGGAACUCUAAAGCCUGGCUGAUGAAUUGAUAAAUUUUCAAAAAACCCCAAGAGUUGGGGUGAAGCUGGGUAGGAACGACUCGACAAUGACGUAAAACAGACACCUCAAAGUCUGAAAAAGGAAGAAAAACACCCAAACGGGUGAUCAUACACUCAUACAUAAAGAAAAAAUGGGAGGCCGCCUCAUUAGCCCUCCCAAAGCAAACCCGGUCUUCUGGACCUGGGGCCACUAACUCAUACUUCGGCUCGUCCUCCUCAGAAGAACAAAUUCUGUGGCGAGUACGAAGAUGGGUGAUAAACUCAGAAUCGACUGAGGGUUCCUCCCCUAAGACUGUGACAUCAACCCAGUGAGAGAGAGCAUCUACAGAAGCCAUUUCUUUUUCUAAAAAAGGGGUGACAAAACCUACAAGGGGAAAAGAAAAAUCACCAACACGGUCUCUAAAGGGAGGGGGAUGCGAAACUAAAGUAUGCAAAUCAAAUUUAUCUACAAAGGCAUAUUAAAGAACUAACCUUUAUCUGGAAAUGAGGGUUGGAAGCAAAAGCCUUCGAAAGCACAAGAAUGCAAUACGAACGAAUGCAAGGGAAAUUUGAAAGAUCGCAGAAACGAAACAAUGAAAGAGAGGGAAAGUAUUUAUAAGAACGUUAGGGGCAUAAUGGUAAAAUAGGGGCAGUCAUUAAUGAAGAUGCACUGUUACCAAGGCUAUUGAAACCCUACGCACACCCCUAACGGAUACGACGCUUGAUUAGACGUAACUGUCAGAACCAAAAGGUCACGAAAGGUCACGUCGGUUUCAAACCACCACGUCGGUCCUCUUACAAAUCGGCUACGACCCCGAGUAGAAUACUCGAACCCAAAUCUUAAAAAGAAAUUGGGCUCGAGUAGGGGCACUGUUCAUACCCUGACCCAAUAAUAAAGGCCCAGGAUCCAAGCAAAGAAGCCCAACCCAAAGGGUUGGCCCUCACCCAAUACCAGCCUUCAUCCCAAGAAGUCGGUACUGAACACGACCUGCUCCAAAAAAGUCGGAUACGAGGGUUAGCUGGCAGAUAACACUCAUUCGAAUGAGUAACUGCCCCUAGAAACUCUCUAACCACUUCAUAGAGCCAUAUCUUAACCUCCCUAAGAUAUGGGAACGGUUAUCCACCUAAAAAGGUGGCACUACUUCAGCGGUGGUUAUUGGUUCACCACUAUAAAUACACUGACACCAUUCCGGUAUCUCUAGGUCCCAAUACUCUCUAACCUGCUCACACUCUUGCUAACUUAGGCAUCGGAGUGUCUUUGCAGGUACCACCCCCCAUUCUCUCAUACGUACAAGUCGGACGGAGGAAUAUCGAGUAACAGACCCCCUCGAAAGCCACCUCCUUCAUACGUUUGGGCCAGCCAACGCCAUCCAGCCUACUAAUCUCCGGUUACCCACCGUAAUAAGUUCUUUCAUUAUUUAUUUCCGAUUAAAUGAUAUGCAAAAUUCUAAAAAAUUGAGUCAUUUUUAGAUGUUUACAGAAUAAAUAAUUUAUUUAUUCAGGUAAAAUCAUUAAAAAAGAAUUAACAGUAAAUGCGUAAUUAAAUUUGUGAACAUAAUCGAAAGAGAUUUAUUUUUGAAUUUUUUCCAUUAAAAUUUUAUGUAAUUGUAAUUUCAUGAAAAAAAAAAAGACUAUAGAGACGACAUUGAUAUAUUAAAAACCAAAAUCUUAAAUUAUUAUUUAUAUUUGAGUGGGAAAUCUAGACUAAAUUUUUAUAAUAGUCCCCAGAUUCAGCUCGUAUACUAAUUUAAUCCCUAAAAUUCCAAUUGCACUAUUUAUAUUCUCCAAAUUACGUUUUGGACUACAUAACGGUCCUUUAGUAGAAUUCCGGCGUGACUCAACGACAAUCUUGCUUAUGUGGCACAGCCACUGUCACGUAAGAUCUCCAAUUAUAUAAGUCAUUUAAAUUUAAAUUAAAAGUAAUAAUAACUUAUUUAAUUUAACAUUUAUGAUAAUAAAUAAAAUUAUCGUUAUAUAAGUCAUUUAAUAUAAAAUAAUUAAAUUAAAAAUUAUAAUUAAUAUAUAUAUCACUUGUAAAUAAAUUAAAAAUUAAUAAUUUUCUAAUAUUUAUACCAUAGAAUAAAUAAUUUUGUUAUAAAUAUUCAUUAACGAUUUAUUAUUCAAUUAAUAUAUCAAUACAAGAAUCAUAAUUUGCAAAGAAAAUACUUAAACAUGAUGGAAGAGAGACUGUAGUAGACCAUGCAAGAGUAUGCUGCUUUUUUUUUUUCUUUUUUUUUUUUUAAUAAUUUCAAACGACAAUACUUCUAGUAGUUUUUCCCUACCAUCAUCAAUCAAUGGAUUAUCGUUUGUAUGAUAGGCUAACAAUCCAAAAACAAAUAAAUAAAUAAAUAAUAAAAUAGCAUACUUUAGCGUACUACUCCAGUGAUUGUUUAUCUUAAUCUCAUGAGUAUUUUAUUAAUUAUUUAAUUCCUAGAAUUGAAUGUUGCGUAGUUAAUUAUAAAAGAUAUUAAAACUAAUUUAAAUCAUCGAAAAAACAAUAGUAUAAAUAUUUUUGGUAAUUUAGAGAGAUAAAUUAUUAGUAUAGUAUCAUUAUUAGAGCGUCGUGCUAAUAACGCGAAGGUCGCAGGUUCGAAACCUGCAUGGGCCAUUUUAUUCUUCUUAUAUCUCUAUCGUUGCCGAAGUAUACUAACAUAAUACAUGUAUUGGAGAAAAACUAAAGGGAGAAUUUUGCAUAGCUUCACAAGAAGUGAACUUACUUUUUCUAUGAAAGCAGCCCGAAAUCAAUAUAAUACCUUAAGAAAGCAGUGAAGUUAUUUCAUAAUUACGGAACUAAGUUGCCCGGUAAUUUGGAUAAGGUGGGUACUCCCAUGAAGAUAUUAUAAUUGUCUUCAUGUGAUGAUUUUUCUUUUUGACCCUUAGAUGAUGGAGUGUAGGGUUAGAUUUUGAUAUGUUAUAAAAGUGUUGUUUUUAUUUGAAGUGUGGCCAAAUCAAUAAAUCACACUUUUAUACAAAGCAUCUUUAUAAAAAGAUGUUUUUUGCAUCUUCAUUUGAGUAGCUCCCUUUGGAUAAUAUCAUAAUCAUUUUCAAAGAACAAUGACAAGGAAGAGAAGCUUUGAUCAUUGGAUGUUCUGCAUCUUUCAAACAUGUUCCACUUUUGCUUGAAAGCAAAGGGAAAAUAAACAAUCUAUCUACACACUGUACAAUUGUAAUUGUUUGCUUUGAGCUAAUCUAUGUUAUGUCAGCUUUUUUUUUUUUUUUGAAGAAUGCAGCAUUCAAUCCAAAAUUGAUAUGAUGCUGCAGAACAAAUCUUCUGUGCAAGGAAUUGUGAGGCCACCCAUUGGAUGAACAUAACCAAAUUCUUCUUCUGCUUUACUCA